rnacentral:rRNA from 1 species
AGUGAACGCUGGCGGUAGGCCUAACACAUGCAAGUCGAACGGCAGCACAGGAGAGCUUGCUCUCUGGGUGGCGAGUGGCGGACGGGUGAGGAAUACAUCGGAAUCUACUCUGUCAUGGGGGACAACGGAGGGAAACUUACGCUAAUACCGCAUACGACCUACGGGUGAAAGCAGGGGACCUUCGGGCCUUGCGCGAUUGAAUGAGCCGAUGUCGGAGUAGCUAGUUGGCGGGGUAAAGGCCCACCAAGGCGACGAUCCGUAGCUGGUCUGAGAGGAUGAUCAGCCACACUGGAACUGAGACACGGUCCAAACUCCUACGGGAGGCAGCAGUGGGGAAUAUUGGACAAUGGGCGCAAGCCUGAUCCAGCCAUACCGCGUGGGUGAAGAAGGCCUUCGGGUUGUAAAGCCCUUUUGUUGGGAAAGAAAUCCAGCUGGCUAAUACCCGGUUGGGAUGACGGUACCCAAAGAAUAAGCACCGGCUAACUUCGUGCCAGCCGCCGCGGUAA